AGUGAACGCUGGCGGUAGGCCUAACACAUGCAAGUCGAACGGCAGCACAGUAAGAGCUUGCUCUUACGGGUGGCGAGUGGCGGACGGGUGAGGAAUACAUCGGAAUCUACUUUUUCGUGGGGGAUAACGUAGGGAAACUUACGCUAAUACCGCAUACGACCUACGGGUGAAAGCAGGGGAUCUUCGGACCUUGCGCGAUUGAAUGAGCCGAUGUCGGAUUAGCUAGUUGGCGGGGUAAAGGCCCACCAAGGCGACGAUCCGUAGCUGGUCUGAGAGGAUGAUCAGCCACAAGGGAACUGAGACACGGUCCAGACUCCUACGGGAGGCAGCAGUGGGGAAUAUUGGACAAUGGGCGCAAGCCUGAUCCAGCCAUACCGCGUGGGUGAAGAAGGCCUUCGGGUUGUAAAGCCCUUUUGUUGGGAAAGAAAAGCAGCAGGUUAAUACCCCGCUGUUCUGACGGUACCCAAAGAAUAAGCACCGGCUAACUUCGUG
rnacentral:rRNA from 1 species